rnacentral:rRNA from 1 species
UACGUAGGGGGCGAGCGUUGUCCGGAAUCAUUGGGCGUAAAGAGCGUGUAGGUGGACUGGAAGGUCUGGUGUGAAAGCCCGGGGCUCAACCCCGGAGGGUCACUGGAAACCAACAGUCUUGAGUCCGGAAGAGGAGAGUGGAAUUCCUGGUGUAGCGGUGGAAUGCGCAGAUAUCAGGAGGAACACCAAGUGGCGAAGGCAGUCUCUCGUCGGUACGUGA